UACGGGGGGGCUAGCGUUGUUCGGAAUUACUGGGCGUAAAGGGCGCGUAGGCGGUCUAUUAAGUUGGAUGUGAAACUCUGGGCUUAACCCAGAGCCUGCAUUCAAAACUGAUAGGCUGGAGUUCUGGAGGGGAUAGCGGAAUUCCUGGUGUAGCGGUGAAAUGCGUAGAUAUCAGGAGGAACACCGGUGGCGAAGGCGGCUAUCUGGACAGAAACUGACGCUGAGGCGCGAAAGCUAGGGGAGCAAACGGG
rnacentral:rRNA from 1 species